GAGAUGCGCGCCGCUGCCUCUCUCCCCGACCCUGACUCCCUGUCUCGCUGUUGCUGAGCCGUCGGCCCUCUGAGCGCAUAGCCGCACUGAAGAAGAGCUCAAGCUGCCGGACUGCAAGGCUGCAACAAAGCUGAACUGCUGAAGCUGCCGCCGAUCCUCUGAUGCUGCAGUAGCUCCACGGGAUUACAAAGACGAGCUACUCCUCGGCCUCCUCCGAUGGCAAUCACUGAGAGGAUGGUGACACUGGCCUUUUGGUGAGCAAGCUGCAAUCAACUGAGGCAUAUCUUCAGGGCGGCAACUAACUUCCAUUUUCAUGGUCCUGAAACAGCAAAGCAGAUGUGUACAACUCUCCUCUCGAUGGAACCGCACAUCUUCCUUCCAUGUUGGAUUAACACUCUUGUAAUGCAUCAUUGGUUUUUACUGUGCGGAUCUCCUAUCAUAUGAGAGGAUGUAAAUGAAGACUUUUGUAUGCCUUUCUGUCCUAAAUUCGAAAGAUUCAGGCAGGCAUACGCCAAUAAAAUAGCUAGAGCCUUUUGGAUGUC